rnacentral:rRNA from 1 species
UGAGGAACAUGACCUUCGGCGGGGGAUAGCCGGCCCAACGGCCGGGUAAUACCGCGUACGACCACAUGGGGACAUCCCCGAGUGGUGAAAGCAGCAAUGCGCCGAUGGAGUGCCUCGCGGCCUAUCAGCUAGUUGGUGAGGUAAUGGCUCACCAAGGCUACGACGGGUAGCUGGUCUGAGAGGAUGAUCAGCCACAUUGGGACUGAGACACGGCCCGGACUNUACGGGAGG